rnacentral:rRNA from 1 species
GUCUAUGGCCACGCUACCCUGAACAAGCCUGACCCCGUCUGAUUUCGGAAGCUAAGCAGGGUCGGGCCUAGUUAGUACUUGGAUGGGAGACCACCUAGGAAGACCAAGUGCUGUAGGCA